CUUCUGCCGGCUGAAGCAUAGCCAGUACCUGCUCCCAACAAGUAGUCCUAUUGUAGGUGCUUGAACCUGGUCGAUAUCAUUCUCUGUCGUAGACUGCGGUCCUUGGCACGUCCGGUUGGACUCACUCCGAUGAGAGGUCACGGAAGCCUAUCGGGUCUCUAGGGACUCCGACCUGCGACAGAAGUUCCCCUCAGAAGUUCGAAGAGUACGGAAGUGUCGGUCCUCCCAGCCGCCUGGCAUGGCAAUCAAUCCCGAGCGCGCUGCCGGCUUGAAGAUUGUCCUUGAAGAAAUGUGGAAAGAAAUACCGAGUGAUCUGCAGAGGUAUUUCACGGAUACGGUCCUCGAGGAACUCUGCCUCACGCUACAGAACCCACUCACGCUGAGAAUCGCGAAGCUUCUGCAUGAAGUGCAACUCUUGCGGGAGGAUGAGCUGUACAAAAAGAGAUCCGAGCUGGUGAGCAAACUCAAACAACGCAUGGGAGCUUUGAAAGAAGAACAUCAAAAACGGCGGGAAUUACAAGCUAGAGCGGGCCUCAGCUUGGAGGAUCUUGAGAAGGAGCUCGACGCCGAUUGGAAACUGAUGGAGGACGAGAGUAAAGCUGAGCUGAAUCAGACAGACCUCAGCAUCAUCAAAGAUAUCGACAAUAUCGUAGCCGAACAACAAGAAGCCUUGCAGGGUGUGGGGGUUCCUUUCUUCAAGAGGACGCAGAACAGCACGGAGCUGCGAAUCCAGAUGACGUUGAUCGACAUUUUGCGCAGAAUCACGGAAAUGCCCAAAUUCCUCCCGCCCUCCUCUGACGUUUGA